rnacentral:rRNA from 1 species
GGUUAAGCGACUAAGCGUACACGGUGGAUGCCCUGGCAGUCAGAGGCGAUGAAGGACGUGCUAAUCUGCGAUAAGCGUCGGUAAGGUGAUAUGAACCGUUAUAACCGGCGAUUUCCGAAUGGGGAAACCCAGUGUGUUUCGACACACUAUCAUUAACUGAAUCCAUAGGUUAAUGAGGCGAACCGGGGGAACUGAAACAUCUAAGUACCCCGAGGAAAAGAAAUCAACCGAGAUUCCCCCAGUAGCGGCGAGCGAACGGGGAGCAGCCCAGAGCCUGAAUCAGUGUGUGUGUUAGUGGAAGCGUCUGGAAAGGCGCGCGAUACAGGGUGACAGCCCCGUACACAAAAAUGCACAUGCUGUGAGCUCGAUGAGUAGGGCGGGACACGUGGUAUCCUGUCUGAAUAUGGGGGGACCAUCCUCCAAGGCUAAAUACUCCUGACUGACCGAUAGUGAACCAGUACCGUGAGGGAAAGGCGAAAAGAACCCCGGCGAGGGGAGUGAAAAAGAACCUGAAACCGUGUACGUACAAGCAGUGGGAGCACGCUUAGGCGUGUGACUGCGUACCUUUUGUAUAAUGGGUCAGCGACUUAUAUUCUGUAGCAAGGUUAACCGAAUAGGGGAGCCGAAGGGAAACCGAGUCUUAACUGGGCGUUAAGUUGCAGGGUAUAGACCCGAAACCCGGUGAUCUAGCCAUGGGCAGGUUGAAGGUUGGGUAACACUAACUGGAGGACCGAACCGACUAAUGUUGAAAAAUUAGCGGAUGACUUGUGGCUGGGGGUGAAAGGCCAAUCAAACCGGGAGAUAGCUGGUUCUCCCCGAAAGCUAUUUAGGUAGCGCCUCGUGAAUUCAUCUCCGGGGGUAGAGCACUGUUUCGGCAAGGGGGUCAUCCCGACUUACCAACCCGAUGCAAACUGCGAAUACCGGAGAAUGUUAUCACGGGAGACACACGGCGGGUGCUAACGUCCGUCGUGAAGAGGGAAACAACCCAGACCGCCAGCUAAGGUCCCAAAGUCAUGGUUAAGUGGGAAACGAUGUGGGAAGGCCCAGACAGCCAGGAUGUUGGCUUAGAAGCAGCCAUCAUUUAAAGAAAGCGUAAUAGCUCACUGGUCGAGUCGGCCUGCGCGGAAGAUGUAACGGGGCUAAACCAUGCACCGAAGCUGCGGCAGCGACGCUGAUGCGUUGUUGGGUAGGGGAGCGUUCUGUAAGCCUGCGAAGGUGUGCUGUGAGGCAUGCUGGAGGUAUCAGAAGUGCGAAUGCUGACAUAAGUAACGAUAAAGCGGGUGAAAAGCCCGCUCGCCGGAAGACCAAGGGUUCCUGUCCAACGUUAAUCGGGGCAGGGUGAGUCGACCCCUAAGGCGAGGCCGAAAGGCGUAGUCGAUGGGAAACAGGUUAAUAUUCCUGUACUUGGUGUUACUGCGAAGGGGGGACGGAGAAGGCUAUGUUGGCCGGGCGACGGUUGUCCCGGUUUAAGCGUGUAGGCUGGUUUUCCAGGCAAAUCCGGAAAAUCAAGGCUGAGGCGUGAUGACGAGGCACUACGGUGCUGAAGCAACAAAUGCCCUGCUUCCAGGAAAAGCCUCUAAGCAUCAGGUAACAUCAAAUCGUACCCCAAACCGACACAGGUGGUCAGGUAGAGAAUACCAAGGCGCUUGAGAGAACUCGGGUGAAGGAACUAGGCAAAAUGGUGCCGUAACUUCGGGAGAAGGCACGCUGAUAUGUAGGUGAAGUCCCUUGCGGAUGGAGCUGAAAUCAGUCGAAGAUACCAGCUGGCUGCAACU